GGUCCCUUAGUUCAACUGGAUAGAAUGCCCCACUUCUAAUGGGUAGGUUGUAGGUUCGAAUCCUACAGGGACUG
rnacentral:tRNA from 1 species